rnacentral:lncRNA from 1 species
UGAUUUAACACUCUGUAAUCUAAUCCACAAGUUCCUCCUAGCAAAAUAACAAGUAGAAGUAUACACAACAGAAAUGCUAAGAGUCUUGUCAUUAGAUUUAAAGGAAAAAGAAAUGUGUUGAUCACUAAUGUCCAUUAUUUCAAGAUUGAUGUUAUUGUCACAUAAAAACCACAAGUUAGUGGAAUUACCUACUCUACUAUUUGAUCUGUUGUCGCACGUGAGUCAAAAGGAGUAAUUAGAAAACUGUAGUUUAG